UACAGAGGUCUCAAGCGUUGUUCGGAUUCAUUGGGCGUAAAGGGUGCGUAGGUGGCGCCGUAAGUGGGGUGUGAAAUUUCGGAGCUUAACUCCGAAACUGCAUUCGAUACUGCCGUGCUUGAGGACUGGAGAGGAGACUGGAAUUUACGGUGUAGCGGUGAAAUGCGUAGAUAUCGUAAGGAAGACCAGUGGCGAAGGCGGGUCUCUGGACAGUUCCUGACGCUGAGGCACGAAGGUCAGGGGAGCAAACGGG
rnacentral:rRNA from 1 species